CCCGGUGAAGUUUUAACGGCCGCAGUUAGAAGCUGUGCUAAGGUAGCGUAGUAAGUUGUCCUUUAAAUGGGGAAAGGAAUGAAUGGUUUGACGUGAGAAUUUCUGUCUCUGGUGAAGCAUAAAAAAUUUUCUUCCCAGUGAAAAGCCUGGGAUUAUUAUAAAAGACGAGAAGACCCUUUCGAGCUUGAUAAAGUUCAAGAGUUUUUUUGGGCUGAAGUUUGGUUGGGGCAACUUAGGAGCAAAAAGAGACUCCUUUAAGAAUUUAACGAUCCAAAAUUUUUGAAAAGAGAAAAAGCUACCGUAGGGAUAACAGCGUUAUCCUCUCUGAGAGAACAUAUUGAAGGGAGG
rnacentral:rRNA from 1 species